AAAUUACUCAUGGCCAUAAAAAUAA
rnacentral:piRNA from 1 species